GGAGUUAGCCGGUGCUUCUUCUGUGAGUGAUGUCCUUCCUGCCGGCUAUUAACCCGCAGGCCUUCUUCCUCACUGAAAGUGCUUUACAACCCGAAGGCCUUCUUCACACACGCGGCAUGGCUGGAUCAGGGUUGCCCCCAUUGUCCAAUAUUCCCCACUGCUGCCUCCCGUAGGAGUCUGGGCCGUGUCUCAGUCCCAGUGUGGCUGAUCAUCCUCUCAGACCAGCUACGGAUCGUCGCCUUGGUGAGCCGUUACCUCACCAACCAGCUAAUCCGACAUAGGCUCAUCCGAUAGCGCGAGGCCCGAAGGUCCCCCGCUUUCCCCCGUAGGGCGUAUGCGGUAUUAGCCUGGGUUUCCCCAGGUUAUCCCCCACUACCGGGCAGAUUCCUAUGCAUUACUCACCCGUCCGCCGCUCGCCACCAGGAGCAAGCUCCCCGUGCUGCCGCUCGACUUGCAUGUGUUAGGCCUGCCGCCAGCGUUCAAUCUGAGCCAGAAUCGAACCCUGA
rnacentral:rRNA from 1 species